rfam:Schistosoma curassoni strain Dakar, Senegal genome assembly, scaffold: SCTD_scaffold0003538
AUUCAUCUGAUGAGUCUCAACUAGGACGAAACACGUGUUCUGAAU